rnacentral:rRNA from 1 species
GACGAACGUUGGCGGCGUGCUUAACACAUGCAAGUCGAACGGAAAGGCCCUGCUUUUGUGGGGUGCUCGAGUGGCGAACGGGUGAGUAACACGUGAGUAACCUGCCCUUGACUUUGGGAUAACUUCAGGAAACUGGGGCUAAUACCGGAUAGGAGCUCCUGCUGCAUGGUGGGGGUUGGAAAGUUUCGGCGGUUGGGGAUGGACUCGCGGCUUAUCAGCUUGUUGGUGGGGUAGUGGCUUACCAAGGCUUUGACGGGUAGCCGGCCUGAGAGGGUGACCGGCCACAUUGGGACUGAGAUACGGCCCAGACUCCUACGGGAGGCAGCAGUGGGGAAUAUUGCACAAUGGGCGGAAGCCUGAUGCAGCAACGCCGCGUGCGGGAUGACGGCCUUCGGGUUGUAAACCGCUUUCGCCUGUGACGAAGCGUGAGUGACGGUAAUGGGUAAAGAAGCACCGGCUAACUACGUGCCAGCAGCCGCGGUGAUACGUAGGGUGCGAGCGUUGUCCGGAUUUAUUGGGCGUAAAGGGCUCGUAGGUGGUUGAUCGCGUCGGAAGUGUAAUCUUGGGGCUUAACCCUGAGCGUGCUUUCGAUACGGGUUGACUUGAGGAAGGUAGGGGAGAAUGGAAUUCCUGGUGGAGCGGUGGAAUGCGCAGAUAUCAGGAGGAACACCAGUGGCGAAGGCGGUUCUCUGGGCCUUUCCUGACGCUGAGGAGCGAAAGCGUGGGGAGCGAACAGGCUUAGAUACCCUGGUAGUCCACGCUGUAAACGGUGGGUACUAGGUGUGGGGUCCAUUCCACGGGUUCCGUGCCGUAGCUAACGCUUUAAGUACCCCGCCUGGGGAGUACGGCCGCAAGGCUAAAACUCAAAGGAAUUGACGGGGCCCCGCACAAGCGGCGGAGCAUGCGGAUUAAUUCGAUGCAACGCGUAGAACCUUACCUGGGUUUGACAUGGAUCGGGAGUGCUCAGAGAUGGGUGUGCCUCUUUUGGGGUCGGUUCACAGGUGGUGCAUGGCUGUCGUUAGCUCGUGUCGUGAGAUGUUGGGUUAAGUCCCGCAACGAGCGCAACCCUUGUUCACUGUUGCCAGCACGUUAUGGUGGGGACUCAGUGGAGACCGCCGGGGUCAACUCGGAGGAAGGUGGGGAUGACGUCAAGUCAUCAUGCCCCUUAUGUCCAGGGCUUCACGCAUGCUACAAUGGCUGGUACAGAGAGUGGCGAGCCUGUGAGGGUGAGCGAAUCUCGGAAAGCCGGUCUCAGUUCGGAUUGGGGUCUGCAACUCGACCUCAUGAAGUCGGAGUCGCUAGUAAUCGCAGAUCAGCAACGCUGCGGUGAAUACGUUCCCGGG